AAUAUAUAUAUAUAUAUAUAUAUAUAAUCUAUGGCCAUGAAUUACUUUAUAUUUAUUAGUUUCGUAUGUAUAUAUGAUAAACGUUGAUUUAAACAUAACAAAGUUAAUAAUUUUUUUUUUUUUUUAGUAAACUUAAUAUUAAUAUGUAUUAUAUACUAACAAUGAUAUUAAUAUUUAAUCUCUUCCAUUUUAAUUCCAAAUAGCCCAAGGGGUUGAAAUUGAAAAACAAAAAAUUAUAUUCCACUAAAUGUUAAACAUAAUUAUUUAUUUGAAGAUUUAAGAUGUUAAUCAUGUUAGUGGUUAGUGGUGACAUGACAUUAAUUGAUUAUGACAGAAGAAUAAUUAGAAUUAGUAAUAAUAAACAAUAAUUAGAAUUGAUUGAGAGGUGUUUUUUUAAAGUCUUAAUUAGAACAAGAUUUGGUAUGUAAUUAAAUAAUUAGGAGCACAAAACAAAAUCUUUGGUAGAGAAGAAGGAGACAUGAAACAAAGAAUAAAUUAAUCAUAAUGUUCUUUCACUUUUUUUUGGGUAAAGAUAUUUUUGGUAGCUAAGGAAGGGGGCAAAGCAAGAAAGCAUAAAAUCAAGACUUACAUUUUUUUCUUGAUCAUGUUUUGGGUAACAAAACACUCCCCAACCAACCAUGUCAGCUUGUAUAUAUAUAUAUAUGUGUGUGUGUGUGUGUGUGUGUAUGUAUAUAUGUAUGUAUAGCUAUGUGUGUGUGUGUGUAUGUAUAUAUAACUCUCAUGAAGGAUUUUAUAUUAAUCAUGGACCCUUUUUUUUCCUAUUAACUCUCAUGAAGGAGGAGACAUGUAGACCAAAAAGAAAUUAAAAAUUUAACUCUUUAUUUUUUGUUCAUGUUGUUAUUAAUUUUAUUAUUACUAAAAUAAUUUGAUUUUUUUUUUAAAAAAAUUAUUUUAAAGUUUGUACUCAUACUAAAAAGAAUUUAAUGGCACCAUAGACUUAUUUGAUAUUUUUAAACUAAAUAUAAAAAAAUAGUCAUAUUAGUAUGUCUAAAUAUAGCUCUAAAAUAUAACUUGACUCGGUUAUAAGAAAAAGAAACUCUUUCUAAUUUUGAAAAUAUAUAUUACUACAUUAUACUCCAAAUACUAUUUUAGUAUAACAUAUGGAAUAAUUAAAUUAAUAAAGAUAAAAUUUAUCAAAAUUAAUUCGUUUUAAGAUCAGAUUCAAACUCUCCAAAUACUUCAUUGUGAAAAAAUAGCAACAGUUGUAGCACCCGGAAAGGAGGAGGAAAAAAAAAAAAAAAAAAAAAAAAAGGGGGGGGGCCACGUCAGCAGCCACGUCAGCAGUCCCGGCCAACCGGGGCCUGCCACGUGGCAAGAUCGCGUCACUCCGAAAGGAGCCACGUUGGCGAUCCGCGUGGGUGCGAUCCGACGGCCCAGAUCAAUCGCGCGAUCGGACGGCCCAGAUUCAAACGCACGGACGGCCCAGAUUCAAUAAAAAACGAACGGCCCAGAUUAAAACGAAAUGAACGGCUGUGAUCAAAAGGCAAGGGGUUAUAAAUAGAACCCCCACACCAGACCAAAAACCCUAGCCGCCAGCCGCUCGCCGGAGAAGACGAACCAGAGGCCGACCGCCGCCACCCGCCGCCACUCGCCGCCGCACCGGGGAAAUUUCCGACCGCCGAUCGAGGUAAAUUUCAUACCCCCGACUCGUUUUUCCCCACUGAUUCCUCCUAUGGCCAAAUCGAAGCCGAAAUCCCGGCCAAACGGCCGGAAUACGCGGCCGAAGCCCAGCGGCGCCGCCGCGCCCCCUCUCGGUUUUUGCCUCCGACGAGGCCCUUCCCGGCCUCCGUUCGAUGCAAUUUUUAUAUCAUCGUGAUCACCAUUCUUUUCUCUACAGGUUGACCGAAGCCAAAUCACCAAAACACGAACUUCGCCGGAGAGUCGCCGUACCCGAGAGCGCCGCCGCCGGUAAGCUCCGCUUUUCCGUGAUUUUUUGGCCUCCCGAGGGCCCUAGGGUUGUUUUCUGACAAGGACCAAUGCGAGUGUGGCCGAAUUCGGCCAAAAACGGCCGAAAACAGUCAACCCGAGGCGACUCGCCGCCGCCAGCGGCGGCGCCGUCGCCGGAGCACGGCGGAGCCGCCGUGCCGGAGUUGCGAUUUGGGCCGAAAGAGGCCCUGGGCCUAAUUUGGAUUUUUUUUGGAACCCGUGCAGGUACUGUUAGCGUGUUUCAGUUCCCCGGGAAAAAUUCAGGGAAAAUUAGGGACAGCCUGCAGGCGCACUGUGAAUCGUAUUCGGAUCCCGAAAACAAGUAAGGACCCCUCACCCUAUUUCCUAUCACGGUAUUAAAGUUCAAAAUGAUAAAACAGUAUUUCUUGAAUUAACGCAUGUGUGAAAUUGCUUAAGGUUGCUAAUGGAGCCCGAGUCUAGUGUGAUUGAUGAUUUACUGUUAUUUGGCCUGUUUACAGCUUUAAAUGCAAAAUGAGGUUUGAUGUGUUCAUUUUACAGAUUUGUGUGCAUGUACUACGUUUUUAUUAAUUAUGGGUUGAAUGACUGAGAAACUGAUACUGUAUGUUGUCUGUCUGGUAUGAAUUACGAUUUGCUUGUUUAAAUGUGAAUUGAUGAUGCUGAUUGAGGAAAAGGAAAAAUGAAAGAUUGUGUAGACUGAUAAUUGUAUUAUGGGGGUCAGCCUGACUAGAUAUCCUGGGAGAUGGUGGACGGACCGGGUCCGUAGGGAACCCUACCGGGAUUGUGGUCUCACAUGCCGGACGGGGUAUGGAGAUCUUAUGGUUUUGGCGCCCAUACCGGACGGGGUAUGGGGACGGCCCGUUUCACCCUCAUACCGGACGGGGUAUUGAGGUUUAUGGUUUUGGCGCCCAUACCGGACGGGGUAUGGGGACGGCCCGUUUCACCUUCAUAUCGGACGGGGUAUUGAGGUUCAUGGUUUUGGCGCCCAUACCGGACGGGGUAUGGGGACAGCCCUGGAAACUGAUUAUGAAUGUUAAAGGUUAACGGGUAGCGGAACCCCUAUGGACCUCCACGGAUACUAGUAGGCUGGUAAAUGAGAAAAAGAUAUGUUGUACAAUGAUUGAAUUACAAGAGGCGUGAUAAGUGUUAUGUUUUACAGCUUAGAUUAUUCAAUGAUUAUGAUAAUGCUAUUGUUUUUCUCAUAUUGUUUUCAUAAAUUCCACCAAGGUAAGUGGAUGGUAAAAGUUUUAUUAUUGAUAAAAGGUUUUGUUGUUAAUAAACGAGUUUAUUGUAAAUUAUGCUCCAUUGGUCUUUUUGUGGUUUUCUACCCACCUUUAUCUCCGUGACGGUGAGAUGUCGUGAUGUUCUUACUGGGAUAGUGUAGCUCACUCCUUAAUUAACCAUUUCAGAUCAGGAAGACAUGGUUCCCGAGCCCGUUCCGCAGGAGGACGACGAAGGGGAUGCCUAGAGACUCUGUAGUCAUACGCAUAGUUUAUUUUCGAGUUUUCUUUCUUAGUUAGUUUAACCUUUUAUAUUUUAAGUACGUUUGUUUGGUUUUUCGUGUAAGGGAUGUUAACUGAAAUUUUGAUCUCGCUUCCGCAUUCGAUAUAUUUAAAUACUCAUUUCAUUUUAAUAUUUUCCGGGGCUGUUACAACAGUUACUUAUGACUUUAAAUUCAGACAAUUCUUUAGUUACGGUCCAAAAUAAUAAAGACAAUAAUGAGCAACCAUGUACGAGCUUUAUUUGGAGAUUAAUUAGUUUCGAUAAAGAGCCAUUGAUUAAAUUGAACUAAUAAAUAUACAAUCACUAUUUCUGAAACUUAUUUAUUACUGAAACCUAUUAUGGUCUCUAUAAAAAAUAACAAAAUCUUAACUAAUUGACACACAAAGUAGCAAUCUACUUAUAACUUCAAGCUCAAACAAUUAUUUUAGUCACAAUAUAAAAGAGUAAAGACAAUAAUGAGCGACCAUUGAUUAAAAUCGAAGUAAUGUCGUCGAUAUAUAAUGACUAAUUCAUGAAACUUAUUUAUUAUUAAAACUUAUUGUUUUUAUCGUUUAAAAACACGAAACCUUAAUUGAUUGAGUUGAAACCUUCUUGAAGUUGUUAUUAUUAUUAUUGUUAUUUUUAAAAAACCUCUUUAUUCUACUUCUUCAUUGAGUUUACAAUUUUUACUACAGUCAGGAUAUAGUCUAUUAUUUGUCUUUUUAAAAUAAAAUAAAAUCUAUUUUUUACGAUCAGAUUGUCUAAUAUUAGUCUCAAUCUGCUUGCAAAAAUAUAACUUUGAUUGAUUUUGAUGAAUAACAAAAGUUAAUAUUUCAUUAAAAUCGUUUAAACGAGAUUUAAAAAACAGAGAAGAAUAAUGGAAGAUUCAACAAUUAAAGAUUGUAAAUAAACUUUUAGUUAGGUAAAUUAAAAAAGGUGUAGCGCAGAGUAUCAUAUAGAAUUACUCUUUGAAAAAAAAUUUAUUCAACGCUUUUUUUUUCUGAUCUUUUAUUAUAACAACAUCCAAUUAAUAUUUCCUUUAAAAUUAGAAUCUUGAAACCUUUUCCAUCAAUGAUGACCAGAACUUCAUGAGGUAAGGAAAUGUAAUCUUCUAUAUACAAGAACAUUCUUCUCAUAUAAAGUGUCAUUUUGUAAACUAUAUCAUAUUAACAAUGGCAAUAAAUUUGUCAAAAAUCGACUUAAGCUUGAUGAAAAGGUCCAUAUACUAAGUAUGAGAAGGAGUUCAUUGUCAUCAAACUCACACUAAUAUAAGAUUUCAUGUUUCAUCUAUAAAUUACCUUUUAAAAAUUUGAGAUGUCGAAGUUGGAGUUUGUCUUAAAACAUUGUCAUACUUUUAACAGAGCAAAAAGUUAAUAAUAAUAUAGUUUCCACUAAGGAUUUUGUUUAAAAAGUGAUAUAUUUUUAGAUACAACUGAAUAUUUUACAAGUUAUAAAUUAAGUUUCAAAAACUUCAAAUGAGCUAUAUCACUUAUUUUAUAUUCUCUUAUGGAUAAUCAAAUUUCAUGAAGGAAGUUAUUAUCUCUUUUAUGUCUAGAUAUGAUAUGCACCUCUCUUCUUUGCUACUUUGCAUCUUUAUACGUGCGUUAGACUUGUUGCCCGUAAACUUCUAACAACACUUAUGAUAUGUACUAUUAUAUCUAAAACUUCAUUUUUUGGAUUUAAGUUCGAUAAAAGUGAAUCAAAAUUUAGGACAUAUUCUCCGGUUUCCUCAAAAGAAAAACAUAUUUUAUAUUAAGUAAAAUGUAUAUAUAUAUCGUAUACGGAAAAAAGUUUGUAUUAUGUUAAGCAGAAUGUUGAAAAUUAAAUGCUACAUCCAAGCUCCAUUAGUUGAAGGCCAAUGGAGGAUAAUGAAAAGUAAUGUAAUGGAUCAUUAUUCAUAUUAAGAGGAUGACAUGCAAAGUAAGAGUAAUACACAUAUGUAUAUAUUAUAUAGAAACAUUAUAAUCACCCUUAUAUUUCGGUUAUAAAUCUAAUUUUUUUAAAAAGAAUUCUAAUGUACAGACCUUAGUCAACUGUUAUUUUCUCUGCAUCUCCAACCACAAUCGUUGCUACCGUGGUGUUUGCCAGUUUAUGAUCUUGCUUUAGGUUGAUUUGUUGAACUUUUCUUUAAUACCAAAAUUUAGGUUCAAUUCUCUAAUCUUUGUUUGGUUGGUUAGAAAAAUUAAUGGGAUAGAAACGAAAAUAUGUUACUUCCUAUAUGUAUAAUAACUUAGUUUUGUCUUGAGUUAAUUAAGGUCCAAAAUAAAUUCUCAUCUUUCUUAUGAAUUAAGCUUAAAAAACACUUUUAAACCCAUUCCAAAUUCUAAACUAUCUUAAGCUCUUCUUUCAAUUUAAAAUUUAAGCCCCAGAAAAACCCAAAUCCAUGUAUAACUUAAUCCAAAAAUUAAACCCAAAUUGAAUCAAAUUUAAACCCUACUCAUUUUAAAUUGCCCAGAAUCAGCCCGGCCCAGCUCAUUAAUACCCUCCUCCUCCUCCCCUCUCCUGAAAUUUCUUCUUGCUUCAGGCGCAGAUAGCAGGGAAAGAUGGGUUGGGGGGGAGAUUCUGCAAGGAGAAAGAGUGGAGCAGGUGAAAGGGGGAAGGAGAAGAAGCGUGAAAGAAAAGCAAUCUGACAAGGGAGAGGCCUAAGAUGAAGGAAAAAGAGGAAGGAGAUGAAAUGAAGGAAAGGAGAGGAGGGGUUUGGGUUUUGAAGAAAAAGAGAUUAGGGUUUUUUCUUGGGGGAAAAUGAGAGAUUUAAAAAGGAAAUUGGGGCUGUGAGUUUGGGUAAAAAGAAAAAAGAGGAGAGAAAGGGAAAAAUUAAGAGGGAGAGGGAUAAUAAAAAUAUGAGAGAAAAACAGUAAAAGGUUUCCAAAAUGCAUGAUAACUCUUGAGUUGGGGGCAAAUAUGAAUUUGGUCAUUGAAUCAAAACUUGGGUUAAAGUUUGUUUAGUACAUGAAAAAUUAUGCCGUAAGUAGACGAAAUGGGUGUAAUUUUAUUUUCAAACUAAUCUUAAUUUAUUACGAAUCUCACAGUUGAUGUAACAUUGAUGUGUUUUUUAAACAAGUUUUAACUUUUUCAAUUAAGAAAUAAAUGAAUUCGAAAAGCAAAAAAGAUGGAUUAAUUUUUCAGAGUACGUUAAAGAAAAAACUAUUUGCUACGGAAACUAAUUCGAUCUUUAAUUAAAUGAAUAACUGAUUUAAUAGGAUUGCAAAAUGACCUAAGAAUCAAAAUCAUAGUUUUGUAAAUGGUGUAAUCACUUAUUCAAUAAAGUUCAAAAGAUGUUGCCUUUACGUAUUGAGCAUUGUUAUAUAUUUUUUUUUUUGCUAUAAGUUUCUAGUCAUGAAUUUUUAGUUAAAAAAUAUUUUCUUUUCAAAAUAUUAAAAAAAAAGACAUCAAAGAUCGAAUUGGUGAAUUAAAAUUCUCAUUAUUAUUUUCUCAAGUUUUUUCUAUACAAUCUCCAAUCUUAUAUUUUGUAAAUAUUUUAAAUUGAUAUAUUAGAUUUUGAAUGAAUGUUAAUCAUAUAUGAACACCAUAAUUAAAAUUUUAAAUUAAUUUCGGCGUGUAAACUAAAUCAAUAAUUAAUAUGCAUGGUAGUGUAGGUACUUCACACCUUUCUAUUCCAUAUCUCCCGUUAAUUUAAAAUCUCCGAAUAAAAAUUAGUAAAUCUUUUAAUACCUAAUCUCAUUUAUAAUAAAACUAAUGAUAUCUCUAAAAAUUAUUUAACGAUUUAGAAAUUACUAUUUUUUGAUAAAUUAUUUUAGAGUCUCGCGUCACUUUAUAUUUUGCGUCUCGUUCAUUCUCAUCGUAUUGAAUUUGUUCUCUGUUGAUUUUAGUUUCUCUUGCUUCUCGAACAUAUUAGAGAUUACAUUAAAAUUUCUAGUUCUUUGUGCAUCAAAUGCUUAUUAUAAUGAGUGAUACCUUUGGGAUUGAAUCCAUCUCACCCAAAUAAUUUAAUUUAAUUUGAUAAAUUGGGUAGAAUAUGUGGAGAAUAUGGGGGCAUUCAUACAAAAAAGUAGAAUAUUUUGGGAGUCCAAGUAAGAAUCAAAUGCAUUAUGGAAGGACCCACUUCACUCCAACCACAUCAAAUCAAAGAGAGAAAAUAUGGCCUAUACCUUCUAAUUUCUUUAUCUUGCAUUCACUAUUAUUUUUUAGUUAUUAAAUUUUCAAUAAUAACAAAUCAUUGAGCUUUGACUCGAUCAUUAUCUUUUUUAUAAUGGUAUCCGAGAGACGACUGAUUGAGAAUUUAAUUUACAGUUUACAUAAUAAUUUAAUCACUAAUCAAAAUAAUAAUAAUAUUUAAUACUUAAUUUUUUUAAUAAACUUUUUAAAAAAUACCCUUUUAUUCUCUUUGGAAAAAAAGUAAUAAUAUAUAUAUAUAUAUAUAUUUACACUCUCACCCAUGAUUGAAGCAAGGAUGCAUAUAAUAUGUUUGUCUAGUGAGGGAAAGAAGAGGAAGGUGUGGGUGGGUGUCAUAAAAAAAUAGAAUGCAUUCACUUUUAAGAUCUUGCAAAGGCAUCAACUUAGAUAUUGUGGGCUCACAUAUGAAUAAAAUAAGAUAUUAUAAUAUAUUAGAAAAUAUAAACAUUUUGACACCUUUUUUUUUUUUUAAUUACAUAAAAUNNNNNNNNNNNNNNNNNNNNNNNNNNNNNNNNNNNNNNNNNNNNNNNNNNNNNNNNNNNNNNNNNNNNNNNNNNNNNNNNNNNNNNNNNNNNNNNNNNNNNNNNNNNNNNNNNNNNNNNNNNNNNNNNNNNNNNNNNNNNNNNNNNNNNNNNNNNNNNNNNNNNNNNNNNNNNNNNNNNNNNNNNNNNNNNNNNNNNNNNNNNNNNNNNNNNNNNNNNNNNNNNNNNNNNNNNNNNNNNNNNNNNNNNNNNNNNNNNNNNNNNNNNNNNNNNNNNNNNNNNNNNNNNNNNNNNNNNNNNNNNNNNNNNNNNNNNNNNNNNNNNNNNNNNNNNNNNNNNNNNNNNNNNNNNNNNNNNNNNNNNNNNNNNNNNNNNNNNNNNNNNNNNNNNNNNNNNNNNNNNNNNNNNNNNNNNNNNNNNNNNNNNNNNNNNNNNNNNNNNNNNNNNNNNNNNNNNNNNNNNNNNNNNNNNNNNNNCAAUAUAUAUAUAUUUCAUGUAAUUCAUAGAACUAAAAAUAAAUAUAAUCAAUUAUGUAAUAUAGAAUACAAAUAAAUCAAAUAAUAUAAUAUAUAUAUAUAUAUAUAUAGACGUAGUUGAUUAAAUUAUCAUGGUGAACAAGGAUUGUCAAACACAUAUGUUUACUAUUAACUUAAAAAGUUACUUCUAGUUUCUUUCCCUCCCUAGUUUUCCAUGAGAGAUUGAUAUGGUUUUACACCAAAAAUGGAGAUUAUUUGGUGAAAUCAGAAUACAUCUUGCUUGUUCUAUAUGAACAGGAAAUCAUGAAGGCUCAACUUCGCGUAUUUGAGCUUCCCAUAAACAAAGAUUGUAGCACCACGAAGAUCGUAGAGAAGACCCAUUUAAAACCCACGAUAUACAGAUCGAAAAUGAGAAAAACGUGAAUAAAACAUGUAAAAGGGAAUCCACAUAUAAUCUAGAAAUCUGCACGAUUUGCUAGCCUAGUCUCCUUUUGUUAUUUGCAUUCAUCUGUUCAAGAUAAAUGUUUGUGGUUUCCGUUGCACCCAAAGCAGAGAACUUUCCCGCAAUUUUCCUAUUCCCCUGAUCGGACCCAUUAAAGGUUUGACACACUCUUUGCUCCCUAAAAAUAAACACCUCGUGUGGAGAAGAUGCAAGGAUAACCUACCAAUUCGUGCUUGGCUUCGAACCUUGCGGAAAAAGAAAAAAAAAAGAAAUACUCGGACUCUUCACCAAGAUAAACUAUUAUUGUCACUUAAGAAGAUGUUCAGUCAAUUAUCAAUUGCAAAUAAUCGGAGCUUAGAUAUCAAAUAAUCACCGUUCUGCAGAGAGAAACAUGUUUCCUGUUAUGAAAAUAAAUCUCGGAAUUAUAUGGCAAGAAGUUAGAGAGAAUGAAAUGAACUGAAGUAGGUUGUACAAUCAUAACUAAAGAGAUUGAGGGUUUUAUGCAACAUGUAAUGGACAGUAGCACAAUUAUUCAUUCUCUCAGCUAGCACAAAAUUUCCAUUUUUUUUUUCUUUUCGACAUGUUCCUUUUGAUGAAGUUCAUUUUCACUCACGAGAUUAGUAAUAGUGAUGCUGACAGUACUCGCUAGUUCCUUCCGCCCGUGCACAAAUACAAGAAGCAUCACUUGUCUUCUUCAAAAUCCAUGAGAAAAUCAGUUAAGUUUUCUGAAUCCUUUACAGCAUCCUCUAGAGACAUUGGGUCGUUCUUCUUCGGUUUAGGCUGUAAAAAAAAUAGACAUGAAGAAGCUUGAGAUGAAUAAGAAUGGUAGAGGAAAAAGAAACUGAUAUCAAAUUGAAAUAAUAGUACUGUAGAAAUUGCCUUGAUUCUCAGAGAGCAUUAAUACAACCAGGGUAUGAUACGUUUCAAUCAAAGUAUCCUACCACAAGUUUACAAAUAUUAUUGAUUUAGCAAAUUCUUUUGUGACUUUAAUAUGCUGAAUAUAAAAGGCCUAAUUUAAAAUUUUCACUAUAAGAUCUCUGUAGCUCUCUUAUGACUGUAACUCAUCCAAAUCUGAGCCAUGAUUCUUGUAAAGUUAAUGCUAGUGCUCGUUUCAACAAUCUAAGCUUAAGAACUACAAGCGCACCAAAGAAACACGAGAAGGAUGGCAUAAACAUAAUCACCUUGGACUUUCGAAGCUCAGGAGUACUUUUUAGAACACUCCAAUUUCGAGUAAUUUUUUCCUCUUCUUCUUCUUCAAUAUCGUCUCCCUCAUCCUAGUGGCAAAAACGCGUUGAAAGAAAAUGUCAAGAGCUGAAGAACAAUCAUGGACAAGGAAUCGCUUUUAAAUGAGGUGUAGGACUCACCUCAUUUUCGCCGAUGUCAACAGCUUGUGCCAUUGCUUCAUCCAUGUCUGUCAUCUGCAACCAUUACAUGACAGGAAGAAACAAAUUGGACCAACAGGCCUCUCUUUGGAGAAAAAAGAUUUGCUAUAUGGCGUUUUCCUUAAUGAAAAUUUCAAAACGGAAAAAAUUAUGGGGAGAGAGCAAGACUGCUUCAUCCCCAUUAUUUUACAUUAUUUUACGUGGAGACCAGAAAGUUUUACUAAAAGUUUCUUAUGUACAUAUGUGUUUCAUCCCCAACCAUCAUAACGUUUUUUCUUCCUAUGAAAGCAUUAAGAAAACAGAAACAAUCACUUCUUUUCCGUUUGAUAUUCAACUUGUAAAGAAUAUGUCUAGGAAGAUAGAAAAUUUAAAGAAAAGAUGGAUAAAUUCAAUUCACAAUCAUAGGAAUUCACUACAAUAACAACCACAUGAUUGUGAGGUACUCAAUUCAAUGAGGAAAAAUCAGUAACUUUUAUUCACCAUCUGAAAAAAAGGAAUGAAAUACUCAUGUAUUUAUAGGAAAACUAGAACACAAUUAGAUUUCUAACUAAAUAAAAAACAAAAUUUCUAAAUCAAUGAGAAAUUUACUUAAAAAAAUAUAGAUAAAUCUAAUCCACAAUCCUGGGAUUGGCCACAAGACAAUUAUAAGAUUGCCAGGCACUAAAUUCAAUAAAGGGAAAUCAAUAAGGUAUCUACAUAACCUAAUAUGACUAGAAUACCUGAAUAGGAAAAUAAUAACAUAAAAGGUCUCUAGUUGAAUAAGAAAUAUAAUCAUAAACUAAUCAUAAAUCUAUUUUUAUAGUUCUCAAAUAAGCUAAAUACCUAUCCCAUAGUAUUAAAAAUUAUCAAACUAUACUGAAGAGAAGUAUCAGCCGUAGAAACUAGCUACAAAAAAAGAAAAUAUUGUGAUUUCAGGCAUGGAUAACUAAAGGAGAAGAGGCAAAACCAUGCCCAAUUACUGCCCCUUAUUCAUUCACGAGUUGGAAUCCCCCACUCAUUUUCUAUGGUGCUAGGAGGUUAGAAGAUUGUGGAAUUCUAUUCUAGGUCUUCUCAGUUUGACUUCAGUUUUCGGAUUCUGUAAAUAUGAGAAAUUUAGGCUUGGUUGGGCAUGUGCACUUGUAGAUCUGAAAAGAAAUUCCUCAAUCUCAUUAAUGUAUCCAUUUCUUUGGGUUAUUUGGAAAGAAAGGAUAUGAGAGUUUUUAAGGACACUUACUCUCCUUUAGAAAGGAUUCAGGACCACUUGUUCCACACCCAAAAUAGUUAAAUAUGUGUCUUAUGCUUGGUAACAUAGAUUUGGGGAACCUUGUAGAUUUAUGUCUUGUAAUUAUUUUGUUUGUGGCUGGCACCUCCUUGGUGCCUUUUAAUGACAUAUUCUCCUUCUCCAAUAAAAGAUAUUACCACUUCAGCGUAUAAUAUCUUACAGAAUUGACAUUGCCAUGCCAAAAGAAAAGAGUUUUGUAGUUAGAAUAUGCCCAUGAACUAAAGUUCCUUAGCCCCAAAAAUAAGAGUAAUCUAAAACGUAACAGAGAACAAGAUCCAGCAUGGUUACAACUCUAGCAAGCAAUUGGAUACAAAAACUACCAGCAAAAGGCCAAUGCUUUUCCCCAGCUCAAUGCACUUUACUUGCAUAUGCAAAAGCGCGUGUAAGCAGCAAAUCGGUUAAAUUUUUAUUAUCUACAUUAGCUAAAUGUUUACGUGAAAACUGAUUGUAUAUGAGACGACCACUUUACAACGAGUAAAGCAUAGGGAAAUGGAAGUCCAACGAUCAACCAGAGAAAUAAAAACAUACCUAAUUAAGGAUACAAGAAACAAAAAAGAAAAAAAAAAGAAAAAGAAAAAUCCCUCUGAGCAUAGCAAAUGAAACCAUACAGAUAUGUGCUAAAAAGGAGUAAAUUCAGGCAUAUUCAUUAUCUCAUUACCUCAAGUUGUUCAGUCUUCUCUUUUGCCAUGAUCUUCUCAAGCUCCUCCCUUGAGAUGAUCUUCCCAUGCUGAAAAGCAAGUCACACUUAAUACAAUGAGACAACAAUCAUGGUGGCCAGUGCAAACGUACAAAUUCCUUGCAUUUAGUGUACUUCAAAAAUCAAAUUGAGUCCAAAAGAAAAAGAUAAUGGCCUAGUGAUUUUUAUCGAAAAAAGAAAAAAUAAACGUUUGUGAUGAUAAUGCUUGUUUUUUUGAUAAGGACCACAAUCAUUAGUUGUUCCAUAAUGAAAAUUUUUGUUAACAGUAUAGUUUUGUAAAUACCAUAAUAUCUUGGUAUUUAGAAGAUAGCAGUUAGUUUUAGUAGAUCUUAAAUUUGCUUAACAUCUAGAAACAUUAUGUUGAUAUUUUCCUAAUUAGUUUUAGUUAAGAAUGUAAUUAAUGCCUUAAUGUAGAAAAAUUAAAGUUAAAUUGCCUAUUAGAAAUUGGAGAAAAUCUAAACAUCACACAUAGGGUUCUUAAGCAUAAGAAAAAGAGUUGGUUGAGUCACAGAAUCNNNNNNNNNNNNNNNNNNNNNNNNNNNNNNNNNNNNNNNNNNNNNNNNNNNCCGAGAAACCCUAACUUUCUAUCCUUACUAUGGAAAGAAAAGGAUAGAAUUUGGUAAGAAAUUUUGGAAGAUCUGGUUAUCGAAUAACUGAGAAUCUCAUUAUAUAGGAGUUAACCAAAUUUAGGAUUACACAGAAUUCCACAUCAUUAUUCUUUCCUAAUUUAGAAUCCUAAACUCCCUCACAAGUCGAGUUGUAAAUAUUGAAUAAACACAGCUAGCAACAGAGUUCUUCGAAGGUGGUUCUUCGAAGGGGUUUAGUGAGAAUUUCGCAGUCUGUGAUUUUGUAGGCGUGUAGAUCACUUGAAUUACCAAAACUUUUAAUAUUCUAUGAAAUGAAGUAACAGUCAAUUUUUAUGCACUUUGUCCAGUUAUGAUGCAUGGAGUUCUUAUAAUAUUAAUGACAGUCUAGUCAUCCCAUAAUAGGUCGAUACCCAGUAAUUAUCCCCAAUUCACCAGUGAGUCUCCUUAUCCACAUAACUUCACAAAUUUCCAAUGAUAAGGCUUUAAAUUUAGUUUCAGCAUUACUUUUAGAAACAACAGGUUGUUUUUUGCUUCUCCAUUUAACUAAGCUCCUGCAAACAUAGGAAUAGUAUCCCAGAGUGGAUCUUCUAUCCUUCAUAUCUCUUGUCCAGUAUGUCAGAAAAAACAGAAAUGUCCCAGGUGACUUGUUUCUUGUAAAGUAAUCCUCUUCCUGGGUCACCUUGAGGUAGCUCAAAAUCCUGUAUACAACCUCCAAGUGAUCCUCAGUUCGGUUGUGCAUGAAUUGACUUGUGACACUAAUUGAGAACCUGAUUUCUGCUCUAUUGUGGGAAAGAUAUAUAAAUUUACCCACAAGAAUCUAAUAUCUCCCCUUGUCCACUAGUGUGUACUUCCCUUCUCGUUUCCUAUCGUUUUAAUUAUGUCUAUUGGAGUAUUUGCAGCCUUACAUACUAGCAUUUUAGUUCCCUUUAGUACGUCCAAGUGUACUUACAUUGUGAGAUGAAUAUACCCUUCUUUGAUCUUGCACCUCCAUGCCCAGAAAGAAUUUAAGAUUACCACGGUCUAUUGUUUCAGAUUCCAUUGCCAAAAACUUCUUAAGUCUUAAUAAUUUCUCUUUAUAAUCAUUCAUGAGAAUAAUGUAGUCAACAUACUAUGAGAAUAGCAAUUUUCUUUUUUGGGGAUUGUUUCACAAAAAGUAGUCAACUUGACCUCUGAUGUACCCGAUUUUUCUCAUGGACUUUGUGAACCUCCCUGACCAAGCCAGUGGGGAAUGUUUUAGGCUAUACAAAGAUUUUUUUUCAGUUUGCAAACCUUAUUGAUGUGGAAAUCUGUUUCAAGUCCUGGAGGAAUUUUUAUGUACACCUCUUUUCGAGAACCAUUUAGAAAUACAUUUUUGACAUUAAGUUUGAUGUAUAGUGGCCAAUUUAAAUUUGUUGCAAUAGAAAGAACCCUUAUAGUAUUGAAUUUGGUCACUAGAGUAAAGGUUUCUUGAUAAUCUAUUCUUUAUGACUGAAUGAAUCCUUUUGCAACGAGCCUGAAUUUUAGUAUCUCAAUGCUUCUUUAUAGUAAAAAUUCACUCACAACCAACAAUUUUCUUUCUAAGGGGAAGAUCAUAAAUCACCAGUGUGUCAUUCUUCUCGAGUACUCUAUUUCAUCUUUAACUGCUGGUUUCCAUUCAGGAUCCUUGAUUGCCUCCUAGAUGCAAUUAAGAAUCUAUACAAUGUCAAAGGUAAAUACAAAAGCCUGGUACGAUAUAAAUAAUCCAUUAGAAGAUAUGUACUUGCAAAUGGGGUAGUUUGUGCAAGUUCUUACUCCUUUUCUUAUAGUAAUUGAAAUGUUUAAGUCAUCCAUCCUAGGAAUAGCAUCAGAACCAGAAAUUUCCUUACUGUGUGAUCAUGAGUCUGAGGUGGUUCAGAUUCUUGGUCAUUGAUGAAGUGUGUUAAGUGCCCUACCUCCCUUUUGGUGUUCCAUCUGUGUGUAUAGACAAUCAAUUCCUUGUUAAGGUUUUGGUUGUCAUCCAUGACUUGAGGUGAGUGAGAGGUAUCUGCAUUUGACUCUUGGGUAGGCAGGACGGGCUGACCAUUAAGAGAUUGAGUUUGCUAUUGGUGUUUCCUACAAUUAAUGCUUCCAAGUUGUUGUUGGCAUGGAGAUUGUUGGAAGUUUUGUAUUAAGUUUGGUUGAGGUAAAGACAGCCAUGUAGGGUCCCUUUAGUGUUGGUCAUUCUUUCAAAGUUGGUAUUCCCUCAUAUUCUUCCCGUGAGUUUCAUGUUUGGGGUAAUAGGUUUUAUUUCCAAAGAAUGUCACAUCCAUUCAAGUGUAAACUUUUCUGGUGGUUGGAGAAUAAUAUUUGUAGCCUUUUUGAUUUGGAGAGUAAUGCAGAAAUAUGAAGUUAAUGGAUUUUAGGUCUAAUUUGCUACCAUGUUGGGUAUGUAUAUGGACAAAUGCAGAGCACCCAAAUACUUUUUGGUUCAGUGUGGAUAUAAUCUUGAUAAGUGGGAAGACUUUGAGAAUAGUGUGAAAACUCCACUGUUCCUCUAUUUUCUCAUCUAUUUUCUCUCUAAAUCUAUACUAUCUUAGGAUAAGUUCAUCGAAAACCCUACUAAUCAUUAGUUGGCCAUAGAAUCAGUCACUUUGGGCUCUUUGCAUCUUUCUAAGCCAUAGAUGAUGAGGAAUUGAGAUUUCAAAGCAAGCUCCUCGUACCACAUGUCCUCCCAAAAUCUCACCCUAUUACCAUUAGUGAAUUUAAAGCUAACAAAAACAGCCAUGUCAUCCCUCCACAAGCUAGUACAAUAGACCUUUUAUAACUUAGACAUCCAUUCCCCAACCAAAAGCUCAUAUUUAGCACCAAGCACGUUCCACCAUAGACUGCCUCUGCAAAUAAGGAUGCACCAAAUCACCAAAAUAACCUAUUGAGGAGAGAAAACGAAUGAUCAGACUCCCUUUAGAAGCAGGCCUUUUAGUAGCAUCCCAAUUCAAUAGGCAUAAAUAUCCCUACUCAUCAGUACCACCAAAGGAACCUUGCAUUGAAUCUACUUCAGCUCUUCAGCAGCAGUACUAGGCUUGGAAACAGGAACAUGAAGUAGAUGGGGAAGGCUAGACAAUGUUCUUUCUAUCGAUAUAAGUCUACUCUCGGUAAUUUUUCCUUGCUAUAUUUAUUUACCUCAAUCCACGAUUUUCUUAUGAACUUUGCUGUUCUUUCUCUAUUUUUUUACCUACUUUCUCUUUAAUUCCAUGCUAUAGCAAAAUAAGUUAAUUUCGGACCUCACUUGUCCUACAUCAGUUAUGUAUUCUUCUUUCAUGGUAUAGCCAAUGCCAUUCUUAUUUGCGUCCACCUAGAUCAUUGAAAAGAAGACACGAGCAAAACUGAGCCAAACCAAACUGGAUAUUUAGAUAUUCAAGCUCAAGUUUUUUUUUUUGAAAUAAAAAGUGUGAAGUGUAUUAAUUAUAUGCACCAAGGGCGUGCAAAACCCAUGUACGAAAAGAAUUAACAUAUUAUUUAGUAUAUCAAUUAGUUCACCUAGGUUCUCUAUCGAGUGCAGAUUUAUUUUGUUUCAUUAUCAACACUCAAGGGACUGAAACCAUCUCUCUCUAAUUUUGUCAAUACUCUCCUCCACUCCCUUAAAAACUCUCCUAUUUCUUUACUGUCAGAGCAUCCAUAAAAUAACCAAUGGAAUGAGCGCUAAAUACUUUUCGUCUUGCUAUUCAAGCUCAAAUAUUUGAGCUCAAACUUAGUUUGAAGCUUAAUUCAAGCUUUGGUUUGCAGGUUCUAUACAAUAAAGAAAUGAUAUAUUCUUUAGAAAUCAUGUCAAAUAUCCCUCUUUCUUCCAAUGCCUAGGUUUUUCUGCUCCACUUUGGGUUACGCUGAAUAUCUCUUCGAGAAGUAUCUUUAGCCUAUGUUUGAAACGAGUUUGUGGAGUUCUUCUGCAAAUCCACAUUUAGUUCAACUUGGAGAAAGACAAAUUGUAUGAAAAAUGAUCUCAAAUACAAUUUCAUAUAAGAUUUCAUAAGAAUUCAAAUUUUUAUUAUUUUCAAUGACCUUCCUCAUCAUCUAGUUAUAUUAGUGGUUCUGAAAUUCCAUAACCAGUAUCAUGGCGUUCUAUAAACAGGCCAUAAUCAUUCAGUCUUCUUCCUCUCAUGCCUUAAAUCGAGGAUCACCUGGUUUUGGGCAUGUGCCCAUGAGGUGAUUGAAUUUCCCUUUUCUCUCAAUAUAGUAUGAACAAGUUGGGAACAUUUUAGGUAGUUCUUUCCUUCAGCCUAUAUGCUGCUUGAAUGGUUUACAAUUCCUGAAUUGUUGGGAUCUAAUAGUCUCUCCUGUUUGAGCAAGGUAAUUGGUUUCUAUUAUUACUUCUAAAGUUUUUCUAGGUUACUUUUGUGUAGGUAAGAAUUACCAGCAAUGAAUGUUGAUUGAGAAAGGGACUACGCAGCUGCACACCAUCAGCGAUGAAGGCUGGUCAUGGUGGAGUAAGGUCGUGCACAGCAACUUGAGGGGCAAGUAGCAGUGACCACACAGCUGAAGCAGGUAGAGACACGUGUCUGUCCUGACUGAAAGGGGUUGGUUGUACAGCUGCUACCACUAGGCAUGGGGCUGGACGUGGCUCGCGUCUGACUGGGCUCAACUGCUGGUUGAGUAGCUGUUGCGGCUAGGCUUGUGGCUUAGGGUGGCUGACGUCUAGCUGUUGGCGGUUGUUUGCAUGCAGCAAAGAAGGCCAGGACUUGGGAAGUGCUGGCUAUGAAGGCCAAUUCUUUGACUUUAGGAUUUUGUUCUGAUUCCAGCAAUAAAGGCCGGUCUAGGUUUAGUAAAGAAAGAUUAUGAUUUUUUUUCCUAUACCGAUAAUACCAUGAGGAGAAAAUUGUAAUCCUUAUUGAAUAUUACAAGUGAUUAUACAAAUAUCUAUAGAGUUAUUCUAGCUACGUAAAAGGAAACCUAACUAUUUUGGAAUCUCAUGGUUUAUGGGAUAUUCCACCAGAAUAGGAUCCUACUUAAAUAGGUUUGAUUCUAUACAUUACACAAAAAGAAAAAAUAUAUACACUUUCUUUUCCAACAACUUAUUCCUUGAAAUCAAAGUAAAAUAUUCCCUACGCUAAAAUUAAGGAACUUCAAUUAUUUUAUACACUCCAAAAAUUUAUCAUGUAUAUGAGAAAUAUUUGAUGUUGUUUCAAGCAGAAACCAAAACUUUCGUUUCAGAUUUAUAAUUGCAGGAAAGUGAUCAAAUAGAUAAAUUACCACGACCAAACCACCACAUAAUUGUCUUUUACAAUGUUUUGAGCAAAGUGUAAGAAACUGAAAAGAAAAACCAAGAACGCUAACCUCCUUCAGAUAAGCCAGCAUAUUGGGUGUUGGUUCAUGAAAAUCUGGUCCUCUAUAAUCAAUUAUUUCAUUAGGAUCUUGUAUAUAGUUCACAGUUGGGUAAACUGGAUCCCCACCCCAUACUGGAAAGAACAAAAGAUAAUCAAGCACAUUAACAUAAUAGCAUGGGCAUCAAAACAUGCAAGGAACAAAUUUUCUUCAAAUUUCCAGCAAAAUAAUAAAAUUAGCUUGUUAAAGCAAAUCAAAGUUUUGACCAGAAUUGCGUUAUGGAUAGAUGUGUGAAUGCAACUCAAGACCGGAAAGAUCGCUGAUGACAUUAACCUAUAGAAAUACAGGAUGUAUGCCUUCAAUAAUGUGUUAGCAACUAUAGCCCUAAGAAGUAUUUUAGCAUGGGCAUCAAAACAUGCAAGGAAACAAAUUUUUCUUCAAAUUUCCAGCAGAACAACAAUAUUAGCUUGUUAACACAAAUCAAAGUUUUGACCAGAAUUGGGUUAUGGAUAGAUGUGUGAAUGCAACUUAAGACCGGAAAGAUAGCUGAUGACAUUAACCUAUAGUGCUUAAGAAAUACAGGAUGUAUGCCUUCAAUAUGUGUUGGUAACUAUAGCCCUAAGAAUUAUUUUGUUGAAGACUUCCACUAUCAAAAUGAACAAAUAGGAUAAGAGGGGUAUUCUUGUUUUAGGCCCCCAAGGCUCAAAGAAACUAAAAGUUCCACCAAUUAGCAUGACCACAAAAGGCAAUCAACGUGCACUACUUGAUCCAAUUGCAACAUUUGUUCUCAGAUCCCAUGUGAUGCAAGAGAUUAAUUAAAAAUUCUGAGAUGCAUGAUUAUAAGCCUUAUGAACAUGUAGUUUAUAUAAUACCCAUAAAUCCACCCAGAUGAAGUGGCCUCCGUGGGCCAUGUGGCAUUCAAAAAUUUUUCACCUGUUGACGUGAUAAGUCAAUCCCUACAUUCACCUUUCACAUAGACCUUUCAAAAAGCACAAGAAUAAUAUAUAGCCUCCUCCUUGAAUUCACAAGAAAGAUAAACUGAGCUCUCCCACUAUCAAUGAGAUCCAAAGAUCUCAUCCCACAAAAGAUCAUUGUCCCCUAACAUAGAAGAUCAAACCAUUUACGCUCUCUAAUUCCUCACAAGCUUUUGGCCAUUACAUCUUAUCAACUCAACCUUUUAUCUUAAAAACAACCUAGGUUCCCACCACUCAUUAUUUCCUAAUGGAGCCCUUAGUGAUGGCUCGUACAUCAGCAUCAUUGAGCCUCUCUCAUUCCAAGGAUUACUCUUCAAAUCAUCAUAAACAAAUAGAAGAUCACUAAUCUCAGAAGUCACUCCAUUCCCUGGUGCCCUAGUCCCCUCUCAUAGUUUACCAACUAUUCAAAUCUCCCAGGCUUCCCAUACCCCUACCCGCUGACAACACCAACUGGCCAUGAAGACCUUGAAACUUAGACUUCUGUUCAAGAAGUCCAUAUUGUAGUAGUCGUACAUAAGUGAAGACACUAACCUAAGCAUAGGACUUGGUAAAAGAAGAUAUUAAAGAAGGACAAACCAUUUGCAAGCACCAACUAGUUAGAAGAAAUCAUCGAACCCCACUUCAAAAUCAUUUCACAUAUGAGACCUCACCCAAUUAGAGAGAAGUCCUGGCGCUCCAAACAUUGCAUGAGUAACCUAAGAAAGAGAUGAAUUAUGCAGUGCGUUUCCUCGGCAGAAGAGAUUCCUCCUUUAAGAGGCCUAAUAAUAGUCGAGCCAAUUCUGGUGCUAGAACAAGAGCCAGGUUUUAUUUAGGGCACUCCUAAACCUCCAAUUUUCUUUCUCAACAAUAACGAACUUUGAGUUUGGCCCAAUGAGUUUUUUCAAUUUUGUGACAAGGCCCACCCAACUAUUUCCCCUAGCUAGGACCUUUUUGUUUCCUUUGCAAUUUCACAACUUAAACUUUAGAAUGCUUUUAUUUCUUCACUGGUCGGCCUAUUCUUGCACAGCGUUGGUGAAGGACCUUAUAAUCACCUUCUUGCCAAACUCUUCUGGAUCAGCUAUCUUAAGGUUCAUCAGAAACCGAAUGCCACAAACUAGGCAUGAGCUAGAGCUAUUUAAUUCUCGGUCACAUAUACCUUCCUUCACUACUAAAGCUUCCUCUUUUCCUUUAUAUAAAUCCAAACCACAAACCUAGACAAUUAAUAAAGAAACCUCCACCAUCCAUCACCUCCAGUACCUUCUAGAAUCAACAUCUUCCUUAAACAACCUUAAUUUUUCUUUCAACUCAAGAAAACUCCUAUUUCAAUCAAGCCUGGUAGAAAGGUAUCUUCCCUCCCCUUGAAGUUUUUGGUUCUAGGUGUUAUGACCUCUCUCACCCGUAAGAACUCAUAGAAAGAUCGAAAAAGAGAUAUUAUCCCCAAGUCAAAAAAAAAAAAGAAAACAAAAAUAUGAUAACAAAUGAAAAUAAACAUAAAGAUCAGCUAGGAUAUAUUCAAAAGAAAAAAAAAGAAAUAUCAGCUAGAAUAUAGAUACUUUGUUUUAUUUGAUCCUCUCGCAUUCGCAUUGCUAAAGGAUCUCUACGAAUACGCACAUCUGUUCCCAUCAUUAUGCGGUACUCACGAUCUGUCUGAUGACAAAACAUCUCAAGUAAUUGAGCAUUUUCAUCUUCACCAGUUUCUUCAAAAUGUUUUUGAAUGGCUUCACGUGAAGUAUCCUUCUUCCACCCUUUUACCCAUUCAGAAUAAUAUGCUAUUGGACCAUCUCUUUCUAGUCUCUCUUGUUCAGCACGAAGCCUGCAAAGGAUUAAAUUAUCUAAGUUCAAAAGGAAAAUUUGACAAUGCUAGAAAAAUAGGGUCACAAAUUGAUUAAUCAUAUCAUAAUUGAAAUGCAAUCCAGGAAACAGAAAGGAAAAAAUAGAGGCAAGAACAAGUUAACCAUACUUUUCUUAUGACUCAUGUAAAGUAUCAUGAUUUUGAAUAGGAAAUAUAAUAGUCUUUGGAACAAGUUAAAAAUGUAUUGGUAACCCCUUAUUCUAUUUUAAGAUAAAAUUCAAUUUUAGAUUUGACUGAACUCAAUUGAAUUUGAUAUAAUUGUGUGCUAAAAUUCUAAUGGAAGCUCCAUAUUUAUCUCAUUAGGCAUACAACACAAAAUCUCCACAAUAAUACAGGAAAAUUAUUCAAUAUUAACAACUACAAAGAUAUUUAGCAAAACCAACCAAAAUGGACCAAGCAGCAAUUGAAAAUUGACAGAGAAUUGAUUUUACAUAGUGAUGCAGUGACAGAACAACUCAGGGAUUGAUAAAAAGUGAAAAAAAAAUUAGAGGAAUUUAGGUGAGAUAACAAAAGAAUACUAGAUCAGAGAAAAAGACACCAGAAGAAGGCAUAAAACUGAAGUACCUCUUCCCUCCAAAAAUGUUAUUGUCUGCUUUAUAUAUUGCUAACCCCAUAUGGGCACCGGUAAGAAUCAAAUUAGGAAACUAUAACAAUAAUAAAUUUUAUCAAAACUUAGUACAUUCUAAUCAAACUUUCUUAAUAUCUUAAUACAUGAAAAAUACUAAAUAAUCAUAAUAGUUAAUCAUCAUUUGGAUAAUUUUUUCCACUGGUGAAAACUUGAAUCAAGUUUCACAGCAAUGAGGAUCGGUAUCGGGACAUGCACUUCAAAUACUUGAAAUGUUUGUGAUUUGCUUUUUCUUUGGGUGGAUAAGAGGGAUUAGAAAAAGAAAUAUAUUAAUUAAGGGGAGAAAAAAGUACAAAUUAGGGAGAAUUAGAUAUCCUCAAAAGAGAAUAGAAAGGAAAAAAGAGAGAGAGAGAGAGAAAGACCAAUUAAUCUCUCACGAGACUAGCUAGCAAAUCUUUAUACAAUACAGAUAAAGAUUACUCCUUAGAGAAAACAUAUUCUUUAAUCUACAGAAAAACUGCAAAAAUUAGCUUAUCCUAAGGAGUCAAAAAUGAGGAAAUUAAUCCUUGAAAAAUUCUGUGUUUCUCUCCAACCAACUCAUCCACAUUCCAGUAGAAAAGACCAACAUCAACGAGCUUUAACUUCCUUAAUUCUCAUACCUAAAAGAGCAUUAAAGAGGAAACCACUGAUUGUACCAAGGGAAACCCAAGAGACAAAUAAAGUACCGAAAGCCCCAUUCCAUAGACACCAAGCUACAUUUCACUGAAGAAAAAAAUGAUUACAUCAACUCUAAAACACAUCACACAAACCCAUUCCUCACACUUUUAUUUAAAAAAAAAACCACAUCACACAAACCCCCUACAAAGCGCGGUUCGGUCUGCAAGCUCGAAGCACAUUAUCAGUAUUAAGUCUGCCCAAGAAUAGCAAUAAAAGCAAAAACUUUAACCUUAAAAGCAGAGGGGACCUUCCACAAGCAUUUGCAGAAAGCAUCAUUAUGGGUGGCACGGUUAUGAGUCAAAACGCCAAGGUAAGACUUGAAAGGAAAAACCCCAAGUAAUUCAAAGACCAUAUUCUAUGGUCAGAGAAGUUAGAAAGUACUACAGACUCAACCGAAGCUCGAUUAAAGAGAUCAUACAGAUGCUUACCGAUCAUUAAGGUUUCUGAAGAAAUACAAAUCCCACAAAUAAGAACUAUCAUCUUGAUCCAUUAAAGACGAUUUGGAGGAGUUGAUUUCAGAAAUAAUAAGUCAGUGAAGCAAGAUGCCAAAUGGGUAUUUUCAAGCGAAGGGUUCUCCGAAAAACAAACCUAGAACCAUCACCCAUCUUACAUGAGUAGGGGUAAAAGAGAGCACAAGCUAGACAUAGCCUUCCAGGGACUCCUAUGUGUACUCAGACACUAACCUUGCACCCCAUCUAUNNNNNNNNNNNNNNNNNNNNNNNNNNNNNNNNNNNNNNNNNNNNNNNNNNNNNNNNNNNNNNNNNNNNNNNNNNNNNNNNNNNNNNNNNNNNNNNNNNNNNNNNNNNNNNNNNNNNNNUAUUCACAACUCUCUAAUUGAUCGAAAUCUGAAACUUGAUUCUCGAGAUCUAAACAAUUAAUAAAUGGGUGAAUUACACUACUCUAUUCAGUAUCACACUACUCAUCGAUACAGAAAAUGAAGGUUGGUAAAAAUCAUAAAAAUAACCAAUAAACCUCUUAAUUUAAGUAAUUUCAUUUAUUAUAAGUAAAACUAUUUAUUGCAUACUUUCCGUUGCAAGAUUUUUAAAACUGACUUAUAAAGAUAAUACCUUUGCAACAUCAUAAUCUCGUAUUCAAGUACGUAAAAAUAACAACUUUCCCUUUUUAUUUGCCUACUGGUAUCCAUGAGGGUCCAUAAGGAUGUCCUACUACGCGUGAACCAGCAUCCAACCUUGUCAACUAACCGGUCGUCCCCAUACCCCGUCCGGUAUGAGCGCCAAAGAUACCAUCCCUCAAUACCCCGUCCGGUAUGAGGGUGAAACGGACCGUCCCUAUAUCUCAUCUGGUAUGAACGCCAAAAAUACAAAUUCUCGAUACCCUGUCUGGUAUGAGGCGACGUUCACGGUAGGAUUCCCUAUAUACCUGGUCUGUCCACCAUCUCUCAGGAUAUCCAGUAAAUCUACCAUUCAUUCAUUCACUUAACCAAUCAAUUUUUUAUUUACAUUUAAUUUUCAGUUUCACAAUUUAACCGUAAAUCAACGCAAAACAAACAAUACAUGCAUUAAGGAAAACACAACUGAAUUAUUUUACCAAUUUCAGUAUAUUAUCAUGCAUUUAAAACUGUAAAAUCAAACAAUCGGUUAAACAGGACAAACAAUAAUAAAUAACCGGUUCUGCCUCUAUUAGUAACCUGUAAUUAAUUUUCGAAAUUUUUUAAAUUAUACAAAAUACCGUAUUAUUGAUAAUUAAACUUCAAUUCCAUAAUAGAGAAUAGGACGAGAAAUUCUUACCCGAAUCGGUGUACGAAACACCGAGCUUUCAGUUACACCUACUGGUGAUCCCCGACUUUCCUUAAUUUUUCUAUGGAGAUUAAAAUACGCUUCGUGUACAUAAAAAUACCUCCAAAAAACUCAAAAUUGGUGUUAAAAAUCUUUUGCGGCAAAUUUCAAAAUUCCGGCACGACGGCACCGCAGCCUGUGGCGGCAGUUUGCCCCGGUCUGGCCGUUUUCAGCCAGUUUUGGCCGGUUUCGGCCAGUUUUAUACUCAUCCCUGUGAGAAAACUCGUUAGAGGGAAUCAGUUGGCCGAAAAAAGUCAAAAAACAAAACUUACCGGCAGCGGAAUUUUCCGGUGCGGCGGCUCCGCCAGCUCACCUUCGCGGCUGGACGUUUCUCUUCGAUCAACCUGUAGAAAACAGAACGGUGAACACAAUAGUGAAAAAAUCGCACGAAAUAGAAAACGGGAAAAGGCUCGUCGGAGGUGAUUUUUGGUUUUGCCUGCAGUGGCGCCACUGGGCUUUACCCAUGGUUUCCGACUCAUCCGCCAUUUCUUUUACUCCGAUUUGAUCAUGGAGGUGUUCGAAAUCAAAUUACGAGCGGAUAGGAGAAUUUUUAUUUUUUUUGGUAGUCGGAGGUGGCUCCGGCAUAGCGGCGGGCGGCUCCCUUCUCCGGCGACUGGUUUUUCUUCUCCGAUGGGGGCUAACGGCUAGAGUUUGAGCUCGAUGUGAUACGAGAUAUUUAUACUCGUCUCCUUAAAUCUGAGUCGUUCAUCGCGUUUGAUCUCAAUUGUCUGAUCGUAUUUAAAAAGAAAAUGAAUCUGAACUGUUUAUCGCGAUUAGAUCUCGUCCGUACAAUCACGUUUAAAGAGGGAAUGAAUCUGAACCGUUCAUCGCGACCGUCCGAUCGCACCUGAUGAGGGAACGGAUCUAGAUCGUCCACGCGUGCGGAAACGCAUCCGGGCCGUUCGAUUCGCGAAUUCCCAGCGUGGCCUCCCGCGUGGCACUGAGUCAGCAUCCCUUGCCACGUGGCAUGCUUCAGUUCGUCGGGGCUGCUGACUGGGCAAUUCUACAUGGUGCAAUUUUCUUUAAUUGUGUUUUGACUCCCAGUUUCCGAUUUUUCUUUCAAAAAUACCAUUCGAACCCAAAUUUUCACAUUUGUUUCCCAAAAUUGUUUUCAAUUUCAUCAUCCACCUAUUUUUUUUCCUAAUUUUACAUUAGAUAAAAAUUUAUAAAUUUAAAAAUUAUAUUUUUAUAUAUUUUUUUAAUUUUAAAAUUAAUCUCGAGUCAAAUUUUGGGAUCAGAUAUUACAAAAGAGAACUCUUCAAACAAUCCAGACCCUUAGAACUUUUAUGCACAACAUGGUCAUAUAAGGAAACAACCCUAGAAUUAUCCCCCAAGAUGAUGCCAUGAUAAAUGAAGAGUCACUCUAGAAUUUCACAACAAACUGAAUCAGCUAGAACUCUCAAUCAUCUCAGCUUAAAACUAGGAUGGCAAGAAAAUUGUGACCCGAUAAACCCGUACCAUCCUGACACAACUUGUCCCGAUUCUUUUGUUGAAGAAACCAAAUCAAGUUAUGUACAGACAGUUUAAUUUUCAAUUGAUUCUGGGUCAGAUUUAGAAGCCAUAAACUCAUUCGGACCCAAUUCUAUUAUACAUAAUAUAUUACACGUAAUCUAUUUGGUGUAUAUAUGUAAUAAAUUAAUAUGUACAAUUUGAUUCGAAUAGGGUCGAAUUUAAUUGAAAAUUUGAUCGGAUUGAAAACAAAAUUAAUUUUUUAAACUCACUCGCCUAUGGCAGAAUUAAGUUCUAAAUAUUUAAAACAAAAAGAACUGCAUCAUCCCCAAACUAGAGAUGGGAAAUCUCCAUCCUACCAAGGACGAUCCUGAAACCCUCAAACACAACUCUCUCGAAACAUCCAGAGAGCAUCUGACUUAGAAUGCCAGCAGCAAUCAUGAAGAGAAAACGAAUCACGAGAUCCUAUUGUCUCAUAGAAAUUAAGAGUUAGCAUCUCCUUCACCUUCUUCAUCUUAUUUUUUCGCCUCCAAUUAAUUUCUCCUUAAUAAACAACUAAUCAAAAGUCAUUCUUGAAAAAGACAACCUCAUAAGCUGAUCAUCAUUAAGAAAAGUGUUCGAAAUGAUCUACUAGACCAGAAAUCUCAUCAGCAUAUCAUUUUGUACUCCAGUAUCACCAAAAACGUUUACUAUAGCUGUGACUACANNNNNNNNNNNNCGAAGAUACCAACAAUACCUUUCGUCCUUGAAAAGGUGUCGUAUAGCUCGGUACAAAGAAGUCUCAGUUAGUGUUGGAUGUUCACCAUAAAGCUUUACUUGUCCAGUCUCGGCCAUUGCUUUGAGAAAAACCUGUAAAACUCAAAGAAAAGAUAGAACAUAUUUUCUUGUGAAAUCACAUGAUAUAUACGUAUAUAUGUCCAAUUAAUCAACUUAAGUAGCAUCAGGUUAUUGUUUAAAUGUCAUGCGAGCAUGACACAAUAAAAAGCAAGUUCAUUACGGUGCAGCACCACCAAAGGACAAACUCAAACAAUGGGUUCAUCUAGGUUGUUAUUGUUCAGAUGUAAAUUCAGGUAACAUGUUUUAAAGGCUAUAUAUAAUAACUGUGAAAAAAUUGACUCUUACCAAUUAUAUCAAAAAUUCAAGUCAAUAACAAAGAUUCAAUCUGUUAUUUAUGUUCCAAUAUACUCCCUCACACAAAAGUCCCUCUGACUGAAUGGCUAGAUUAAUCACGGACUUAUAUAUCACUUGUGAAAUUAAAUUUAAAUAGAACUGGGACAAUUAGGAUUGGAAACACUAAACUCCUCACUUUGAUACUAUAUUGAAUAAAAUUCUUUAGCUUUAUUAUAUGCUGCAAAGCAUUAUAUAUAGGUAACUAUAGGGAUCUUUUAGAGAGAUACGGGGAUCAUAAGCAAUGAAAAUUAUUUGACACAUAAAAGUUGUAGGAGAAGACAUAUAAAAGAUAGUAAAUAUCUAGCACAAUAUACAACUAUAUAAGAACAUAUAUUUAAUAUUCAAACAAUACCGGGCAGCUCUUGAACCACAAACUUGUCUUUGAGGAACCUUCCGAGUCACAAAUUUGGAAAUAAUUUCUCUACCCAAUAUCUGCCUCACUGAUCACUCAGGUCAGAUCAAAUUACUAGGUUCCCCGAGGAGAGAGAAAGAAAAAAAGAGUAAACAAAAUUUGAAGUAAACACUUUUCCUUUUGAGCACACACACAAACACAUGCCAGCUCGCAACAGUCCAAAGCACAAUACAGAGAACAGCAAACGCAUGUAUACAACCAAGAUUACACACACAAGCACAAAAAAAAGACAGGACUAAGCACAAGCAAGCACAUGGACUAAUGGGGAUGCAUAUCUCCAUGAGCUCUUUUAAAGCAUAACUACACAAGCUUUUCUUCUCAGAAAAAAAUAAUAAUAAUAAUAACAACACAAGAUUCUUUUCUAUUAGUCAAUGUUCUAUUAGUCAAAGUGGCAUCUAGUCCCAAAUAAACAUGGAGCUGUAUAUGUAUCUUUUUAUAUGUUUGCACCAACCGUUUCAACAUCAGGACGCCUCCUUUGCCAUCUAGACCAUUGUUCCUUGUCUGGCUUUCUCCAGUUCCACCACAAUUCAUCACUAGUAAGGGGCUUCUCAAUCGGCUUCUUCACCUCUGGAUCAAUGAAGGGAUGAGGCCGUCCAACUGUCUUGUCUAAUUGAUAUCCACUUUCUUCUUCUGCUUCAGGUUCCAUCUGAUAUACAACGUAUUCAGAUGAUGAAUCUUUUGGCUCCUCAAUUGUGUCCUCGACAACAUCAGAAGUAACUAAAUCACUUGGUUCAACAGUCUCUUCAUCACUUGAUUCUACAGUCACUGGAGAAGAUUCAGGGGCAGCAACUUUUGUUCUAUGCUUCUUCCUCCUACUCCCAGGAUUUUUGCCAU
rnacentral:lncRNA from 1 species